rnacentral:rRNA from 1 species
GACGAACGCUGGCGGCGUGCUUAACACAUGCAAGUCGAACGGAAAGGCCCUGCUUUUGUGGGGUGCUCGAGUGGCGAACGGGUGAGUAACACGUGAGUAAACUGCCCUUGACUUUGGGAUAACUUCAGGAAACUGGGGCUAAUAUCGGAUAGGAGCUCCUGCUGCAUGGUGGGGGUUGGAAAGUUUCGGCGGUUGGGGAUGGACUCGCGGCUUAUCAGCUUGUUGGUGGGGUAGUGGCUUACCAAGGCUUUGACGGGUAGCCGGCCUGAGAGGGUGACCGGCCACAAUAGGACUGAGAUACGGCCCAGACUCCUACGGGACGCAGCAGUGGAGAAUUUUGCACAAUAGGCGGAAGCCUGAUGCAGCAACGCCGCAUUCGUGAUGACGUCCUUCGAGUUAUAAACCACUUUCGCCUGUGACAAAGCGUGAGUGACGGUAAUGAGUAAAGAAGCACCGGCUAACUACGUG